rnacentral:rRNA from 1 species
UACAGAGGUCUCAAGCGUUGUUCGGAUUCACUGGGCGUAAAGGGUGCGUAGGCGGUGCUGUAAGUCAGGUGUGAAAUCCCGGGGCUCAACCCCGAAACUGCACUUGAUACUGCAGUGCUCGAGGACUGGAGAGGAGAUCGGAAUUCAUGGUGUAGCAGUGAAAUGCGUAGAUAUCAUGAGGAAGACCGGUGGCGAAGGCGGAUCUCUGGACAGUUCCUGACGCUGAGGCACGAAGGCCAGGGGAGCAAACGGG